rnacentral:lncRNA from 1 species
AUGCAAAUUACUAAUGAAUAUUCAUGAGAUGAAUAAUUCAACAGAUUAAUAUCUUGAUCUCAAGAACUCUUGUCAUUAUAAUGAAAUGCGAUUCCUUCAACCAACAUUCGUAAUAAAUUUCAAGACUUAACAUCGCUCAUAUUCAUAAGUUUGUUGCCUAUAAUUCAGAUCAUUACUACCAGUAAUUAAACAUGUGUCCCUUUUCAAAAGUCUUCCAACUGUUUCUCUGAUUUCGCUAGUUAAUCUAUUAUAUUUUUGUUACGUUUAUAUGCUAUAAUAGACACUUGAGUAAAAAUUUCACUGCAUUCUUUUGCAGAUUGUUCCAAUGUUUUACUUAUAAUUUUAAUAAAGUUUUUCACCAUUUGGUUAUAUUUUGUAAUAAGAGU